GAUGAACGCUAGCGGCAGGCCUAACACAUGCAAGUCGAGGGGUAACAGGGUAGCAAUAUCGCUGACGACCGGCGCACGGGUGAGUAACACGUAUGCAACCUUCCUUUAACUGGGGCAUAGCCCGGAGAAAUUCGGAUUAAUACCCCAUAACAUCAUAGAAAGGCAUCUUUCAGUGAUUAAAGCUCCGGCGGUUAAAGAUGGGCAUGCGUACCAUUAGCUAGUUGGUGAGGUAAUUGCUCACCAAGGCUACGAUGGUUAGGGGGUCUGAGAGGAUGAUCCCCCACACUGGUACUGAGACACGGACCAGACUCCUACGGGAGGGAGCAGUGAGGAAUAUUGGGCAAUGGGCGCAAGCCUGACCCAGCCAUGCCGCGUGAAGGUAGAAGGCCCUAUGGGUUGUAAACUUCUUUUAUACGGGAAGAAACUUCCGAACGUGUUCGGGAUUGACUGUACCGUAGGAAUAAGCAUCGGCUAACUCCGUGCCAGCAGCCGCCGUAAUAC
rnacentral:rRNA from 1 species